AAGGGUUUGAGGGGCAUUUCUGCUCUCCUAACCUCUGUUGAGUUACCUGUAAAUCAGGAAUCCACCAAUUUGUUUCCCAAGAUGAAAUGAGCACAUGGGGAUGAAACGAGCACAUGGGGAUGACACCUGUUUACUUUCAGCCUUCUGUGAAAUCUGAGAGCAUGUGGCAGUGUGACCUGGGAAGUGACCUCCAGCACCUUGGCCUCUAUCAUAAAUGCUCCCUAUUGUGAGACACCUCACAAAAGGGUCUGAGAGCAAAUUUGGCAAUGAAAUCACUCUUACUCUUGCUACCAAGGAACUACAGAGGCAGAGACACACAUGAUGGGGUUUCUGAACAUGACAACUGGUAUAGCGGUACUUGAUCCAUACUUGUUGAGUAUAAUUAAAUAAAAAGUAAUUUCUAAUUUCUCAGUUGGGAGCUGAAGGCUGUGAAGCCCUCAAGUUUCUCAAAACAGCACAGGGCCAGGGUGAGCACAGAGAAGGGUGUGGUCUCCUCCACCUGGUUUAGAAGUGUCUUCACAAGGGAAGUGAAGCCUGAGGAGUCCUGAAAGAAGGUGGGCAGGCAGCCAACGCCUCCAGGAAAGGGCAUCUCAGAUAGAGGAAUUACCCUUUACUUAAAGCAGAAAGGAAAGGUUUCUCAGUAACUACACAACCAGCUUGAUAAGAGAAUGUUCCCCCACCAACUCCUAGAAUAAUAUUUAUUGGUAAAUCGGGAAUGUUUUAUCGAUGACUCCCAUCUGGCGCUGUGAUCAGAACUAACACCCCAGGAAGAAAAUAAAAUGCUCAAUCUGCGUCUGCACAGGAGCACCUAGCAACUUGAGAUACGGGCAAGGAUUUGUGUAGAGGAGUCUACAGUGACCUGCUUACCUUCCCCUCCACCAACAGGAACCCUUAUACCAAGGGCCUCCAAACCUUCCGUCUGUUUCAUAGGGAAAUGGUGGAUUUGGAAGUUUACCCAAGAAGUUUAUCAAUUCAACUAUUCUAAAAGACUUGAGGCUUUAGAAAAAUCCCUGCCACAUAUUUAUGUUGCUCAUGCCAUAUGCUUGUGUACUGAAGAACGUACUGUGCUCAAGUUUUCCUUUCACUGUUCAGAUAGGCCCAGCCAACCAUUCCUAAUAAGACUUAAAUCAGAACUUCAGUGUCCCAGGAUGAUCUCCAUGGUAAAAAUCUAGUGCACUGGUUAUAAAAAUAAGGUGGGAAAAUUCUUUUUAAGAAUGUGUGAUGGACCCUAAAAGGAGUAAAUGAGGUGCAUUCAAAGAUUUGAAAGGGAAGAAGGAGCGUGUUUCCAUGCAUUAGAAAAUAGUUAAUUUAGGGGGAGAAUGUUUUACUGAUUCCAAGUCUCUGAAAAGACUGAAUUCAAAUCAAUUCCACAAACAUUUACUAACAACCUACUCACCCUGGGGACACAAAGAUAAAUUGAGUCUCAGACAUGUCGUUUUCUAACUGCUUUAGCACCUCUAUUGUCUGUAGAUCCUUUAAUUUAUUUUGGUUGUAUUAGCUAAUUAAUUAGCUAACUUUAGGUACACGGAUAUUUUCUCAUUACAAAAAUGCAUGCCGUUUGAUGAAGGAUGAUCAUUAACAAAAUGACUUGUGUUUACACUAAGAGGUUUUUUAAAAAUAGCUACUCAAGGACAGUUCUCCUUAAAUAAAAGGGAAGAAAAUAAAAAUACUGUUUUCUAUGGUAGAAUCUAUUCUUUAAGCCACAUGUAGAGAAAGUUUUCUUAUCUCCUGGACUAGAGGGUGACCAUCAACAACCUUGAAAGCAUUAGAACUUUAUGGAUAGGAGUUCCCAUGCUGGCACAGUGGUUAACAAAUCCGACUAAGAACCAUGAGGUUGCGGGUUCGAUCCCUGGCCUUGCUCAGUGGAUUAAGGAUCUGGCGUUGCCGUGAGCCGUGGUGUAGGUUGCAGACGAGGCUCGGAUCCCACGUUGCUGUGGCUCUGGUGUAGGCCGGUGGCUACAGCUCCAAUUCAACCCCUAGCCCGGGAAUCGCCAUAUGCUGCGGAAGCGGCUCUAGAAAAGGCAAAAAGACCAAAAAAAAAAAAAAAUUUUUUUUUAAAGAACUUUAUGGAUAACCCAGAUGCUUUGAAAGCCUAUGUUUCUCAGCAAAUACAGGAACCACAAUCCAAAUGCAUGGAGUCACUCGUAUUUUGACCACGGCAUAGUUUAGAUCUAUUUGGCAGAAAAAAUAAUUGUUUAGGCUACUAAAAUUCCUAAGUCUUUCUGACUAAGGUACAGUAGAAUGUGAAAAGGUACACUUUCACAUCUUGAAAAGUGUCUGCUUUGACUUAACAGGGCAUGCCAGAGCCCUUGGCUCCAUUUCCAUCUAAGCUACGUCAUUCCAGAGGAAAUUCCAUCUCUGUGCUCGUCAGUAACCCCUCCAGACUAUAAAAUUUCAACUAGCUCACUGUGCACAAGGCGUGUCUGUUGCCAAGAUUCUCUGGCAAGGUAUUUUCCCAAGUCCUUUCCCAAUCGUAUUUCCAUGAUUAUGACACUGGGGAUUAAUUCUUCAGACAGGACUGUUUAUACACUGCACCUUGCAAAACACAUGCAGAAGUUACUUGCCUCAAGAUUUCUUUCUCUCCUAGGACCCAGAGUUCUGGAAGUAUUGGGCCACUUUUAUGAUAACUUUUUUAAAAAGGAUGCACCCUUAUCCUGGAUAUUAAGAGCUAUUGCACCAUACUGGCAUCGAGGCCUGGGGAAAAGAAUUCAGUGAACAGUUAACCCCUAAAACCUUCUGCUUCAGCGGUCAGAGCAGUCACAUCUAAUGCCCUGCCCCACUUGACAACCAUAUUUACAACUUCCCAGGUUCUGAAACACAUUUGCCCUGCCCGCCCCCCAUCCCUUCCUUUAUUCCAUUUUAAGAAGUAAGUACCGUACCAACCCAGACAGACAUAACUUGUUCAGGACCACAUAAUGAGUUAAUGGCAGGUCCAGAGCUAGAAUAUUAUCUUCUUGAAUCAUAAUUCUAGACUUACCAAUUACCCUCUGCUCUUAGCAAAUAGUAUUCCCCUUAAUAACUGGAGGAAGACCAUGAGAAAUUUAUCAAAAAUCAAUGGGGUGAUACAGAAAAAGGGAAGGGAGUUCUUCCAUGUCUCCCUAGAGGAAAGCGCUAGGGCUAAUAAAUUGACGUUGCAGGGUCACCAUUUCUGUCUUGAUGACCAAAGGAACUCUACCCCAAAUGAGAAUGUCCCCAGAUAGUGAUUUCUCAAGUCUCUGGAGACAUUCAACCAAAGAGCUCAUCCCAAAGCUUUUGUAGAAACAAUUCCUACAAUGAAGUAAGAGGAAGAAUUGAGCCAAAGGAAUUUUGAGGUAUAUUCCAAAUCUAUAAUAUAUGGCCAUUUUUAAUUGACUUCUGAGUGUUUUGUUUGAGCAUUAAGAACUAGGCAGACUUUGUCAAGAGUUUAGAGCUUCUAGCCUAAAAGUGGCUGCCAUUUCCCACUUGUUCAGACAGUGUCUGAGAUCCUGAUCAACAGAGCAUGUCAUGGAGUUUUAGAGCUGGUGGGAUCUGCAGAGUUUAUCUGCUCCAAGUUACAUCAUUUUAAGAAUGAAAGAAUCCAGGCUCAGAAAGGUGACAUAAAUGGCCCAAUGCCAGUCAGUAGCUAGUAGCAGUGCGAGGCUAGAAUUCAUAUCACCUGACACCCAGCCCAGCAGUCUUUCCAUUUCAUCCAUGACUCAAGUUAUUUUUUUGUACAUCCGUCACGUGACAUCACUUAACCUAGAUGCUGGAGAGCCAAGACAAGACAGAAUAUGACAGGCAAGUCCCACUCUCAUGUUGCAUGAGUUUUGGUGGAAGGAGAGGCACAAUGUUGAGUAAAUAAAGUAGCAGAUGACUUUAUUUGUAAAGUCAUUAAAAUAUGUAACUUCCCCCUUUUGUUUCAGGGUGAACAGAUUAAACAAAUGUUGGUGUUUAUGUGGUUUUAGUGAUAAGCCCCAUGUGCUUUUAUUGAUUUUAUGUUUUAUGUUAAAACAUCACAAACCCAAGGUAAACUGCAUAUUGUAUGUCACUGGAUAUUUACUUAGCUGAUAAGCAUCCCAUGUCUUCCGGCACUACUGUAUGAAUCCCAAUCACUGUGAAUGAAAUGUUUUGUGUGUAUUAAGGUAUUUAAUGGAUGUAAUUUAAUAAACUGGCAUGGAAAGCUG
rnacentral:lncRNA from 1 species